AGAAUGUCCGUGCUCUCGAAUCGAUAAUAAAUUUAUAGUUUCACGACGAAAAGCUAAGUAUGUCAGGAUGCAAAAAAACAGUAAAAAGCACGCGAACACUGAAAAAGAAUUGCGCGGAACGUGAAUCGCGAUAUUUCCAUAUAACGCGAUAUCAGAAGCUAGUGACGCUAGCUUUCUCAAGUUCGAGACCCGUUGAGACCCGUCGAGACAAGAUUACGACGUGUUACACCAAAGUUCUGAAUAAUCCAAUAACGCUUCAUAGUAUAAUAAUAUCCUGAUCGUAAUAUCAUUAAGGUACAAGAUCAUUAUAAAAAGUCGAGACUUUUUCUAAUGCCGGCAAACACCCACCGCACGGGUAUAUGCAGAUAUUCUUCGAAUUUGACCCAGAAAUUUUGAAGACAUCUUCAAGUUUCGAACAUGGUCAUUAUUUCUUUAAGCAGUGUAAAGUUUAAGCAACUACUUUCAAACGCCUGACGAAUGGCAAUCAAUUUGCAAUUGAUUCGCCACUCAUCACUAGAUAGCGAUUGAACUCGACAGCCGCAGCAUAAUUUCGAAGAGCAAUCUAAUCAAUUUACGUCUUCAAGAAGGCCGCUUCGCCUCGACCACUUACAGGACAGAGGAAGGACGAGGAGCGAUCCUGAUUUAUCCGACAAAAAUCUUCGUUGCUUGCAAUUUCCGACGAGAAGUCUGCGGUAUCCAGCUUAUCAAUGUCUGCGAAACCCAAGUUUAAGAAGUCACCUGCGGAACCCGGCAAUAUGAGAAUGCCACAUGGAAGCCUGCAACGGAACCCUCAGGGGAUUUCGAGUUUUUCCCGAUCGGCGCUUCGAAUUCUUUCUCUGGCUUCACCACCACCUCACGAGAGAGGCACGCUGCCAAAUAUACCGAUUCACCGAGGCAUUUUGGUACUACCGCAAACAAUACCGAUCGGUCUGUACAGACGGAGCCAAUCAUACAGAUUCAUCGAACUAUCCAAGCAGGAUCGCAAACAAUCAAUCGGUCCAUACAGACGCAGCAGACGGACCGCUCUUCUGUUACUACUUCAGCUCUGCGUUUAUCACUGCGGAGCCUUACUCAGCGCCGACUACGACGCAUGAGGCAAUGUCGACGAUAGUACGGGCAUUCUGAUUCUGAGAGCGAAAUCACCAGGGACGACGAAGAGGUGAACAAGCGACUGUACAACACUUACAAUUAGCGACUGAACACCAGUUGCCAAAUCUAGAGGGAGAACCAGAUCCGACACAAAUUAAUCUGACAGGAUCAUCUCUCAUUUGCAUAUACAACCGUCCUUUUCAGGACGACCAUGAUGAUCAGAACAAUUGUCUAGGCGGUAAUCCUAGUCUGCAGUGACCCCUUGGAAAAACUAUUACGCGGGAAUAUUCUUUCGAGAGAUCGCCACGCUGCGCCGAUGUAGUGCCCCGAACGAAUAAGCUGGCGACCCAUCACGAUCGAAACAUCGUUGGUCUCCCUUCUCGGUACUUUAUCCGAUUAACGGCGUAAUAGCGAAACUAUGGAUAGCGUAAUCGCGGUUUAAGUUUGGUCCAGUUGUUUAUCGCCCCUCUCGCGCCCAUACAUACGACUACGACCGCGCAUGCACGCCUAUAUGCACCGAAGUCACCGUAUCGCGCGCUCGCCGUGUGUUUGCCAAUUUCAAUGCAAAUAUAGAAGAUCUUCCUCGGUCUCUGCAAACGUAUCACCUCGCUCUAACCUAUUGGCCUUGCCACGCGGUGUGUUUGCGCUCUCGAACGACCGCCGCGGUGCAAUGCUGAGCGGCCCCAGGCUUGAUACGGCUCGAAUGCACUCGCGCAGUUUAGCCCGAAUGUAUUUCCGCCGCCGCGGAGCGUAAAUCUUUUUU